rnacentral:rRNA from 1 species
CUUCGGCGGUUAGCGGCGGACGGGUGAGUAACACGUAGGCAACCUGCCUGUACGACUGGGAUAACUCCGGGAAACCGGAGCUAAUACCGGAUACGUUUUUCAGACCGCAUGGUCUGAAAGAGAAAGACCUUUGGUCACGUACAGAUGGGCCUGCGGCGCAUUAGCUAGUUGGUGGGGUAACGGCCUACCAAGGCGACGAUGCGUAGCCGACCUGAGAGGGUGAUCGGCCACACUGGGACUGAGACACGGCCCAGACUCCUACGGGAGGCAGCAGUAGGGAAUCUUCCGCAAUGGACGAAAGUCUGACGGAGCAACGCCGCGUGAACGAUGAAGGUUUUCGGAUCGUAAAGUUCUGUUGUUAGGGAAGAACCGCCGGGAUGACCUCCCGGUCUGACGGUACCUAACGAGAAAGCCCCGGCUAACUACGUGCCAGCAGCCGCGGUAAUACGUAGGGGGCAAGCGUUGUCCGGAAUUAUUGGGCGUAAAGCGCGCGCAGGCGGCUUCUUAAGUCAGGUGUGAAAGCCCACGGCUCAACCGUGGAGGGCCACUUGAAACUGGGAGGCUUGAGUGCAGGAGAGGAGAGCGGAAUUCCACGUGUAGCGGUGAAAUGCGUAUAGAUGUGGAGGAACACCCGUGGCGAAGGCGGCUCUCUGGCCUGUAACUGACGCUGAGGCGCGAAAGCGUGGGGAGCGAACAGGAUUAGAUACCCUGGUAGUCCACGCCGUAAACGUUGAG